CCUCUGUACACAUCUUCAAAUCCAGGAGGAAUAAGAGGAAUGGAUGGUGCUGGCUGUUGAUGGAUUGCUGAAUGCUGAUCAGGAGUGUUGGUUGCCGAAUGUUGAUCUUCUGAAUGACUUGGCUGAUGAACUGGUGGUGAAUUUUGAGCAGGCAGAGGAGUAUGUCUUUCCUUCGGAUAAUACUCUUGAGGUUGAGGAAGAUUGCUUGAUGAUGAGGAUGAUAGUGAGGUGGUGAUGUGGAUUGGUCAUCUGGACUUGGGCAGUUACUGAAGAGUAAAAAUGGGGCCUUCGUUGAUGUGGAGAAUGGUGACGAAGGUGUCACCGAAGAUGGUGAUGAUGGUGGCGAUAAGGGUGGCGUCU
rnacentral:lncRNA from 1 species